rnacentral:lncRNA from 1 species
GGGCCGGGAUUUUGAGGUUUCCGGUGGAGCAGUACCUCUUGACUUGCUACUGGUACCUGGAAGAGAUGUAACACCUGACCAUGGGACAUCAAGUGACUGUGUGAAUCAAACUGCCCAUCAUGAAUUGUUGUUAUUUGACUCAUCAAACUGUACAACUGGAUGAACACAGGAGCAGUGCACUACAUAUGGGACUGGAACCAUGAAUGAGCAGGUGACUCAGACUCCUAUAGUACCUGCCUCUACUCCUUCAGCACUUCUCCCUCAACCCACAUAAACUGUCAUCAUAAUGAGUUCCCUCUGACCAGUUAAUGGAAGAGAAAAAAGUAUGGAUGUUAUGGAUAUCCUAACAUAUUUCUGGCCAUUGGACCCCUAGAAACCUGUGGCAAGUCCUGGAAGUUUUUCAAGGUUCAUCUUGCACCUUCUAGCAUGCAUAUGUCGUACCAAAGCAUGUAGAAUGCUGCCUACUUCUGCUCUUCAGUUUCAUUUAAUAUAAUUUCAUUACUCUGAUAAAUCAGUGUGAUGUUCUAUGGAAUAACAAAAGACCAUCAAGGUCCCUUCAUACCAUAUAGAGAACAGGAGAGUUGAUGUAGCCUGAGACAAGACAGUAAGGACUUACUGUUAUCCCUCCUAUUUAAACGUAGUCUGUUUCUGAUUCUCCUUAGAAUGGGGGUGGGGGGACAUUUCCAGAUCAAUAUCAGAUCAGUAUCAUGUCAACAUGGGUAUUAAUUUCUUCCGAAGAAGAUACCACACCUAGAACAGCAACCAUAAUUGGCAUCCCUACCUAAUUAAAGUUUGCAGUCCACUGUCA